CAGCCGCCGCGGUAAUACGUAGGGUGCGAGCGUUAAUCGGAUUUACUGGGCGUAAAGCGUGCGCAGGCGGCCCGUUAAGACAGGUGUGAAAUCCCUAGGCUCAACCUAGGAAUUGCGCUUGUGACUGGCGGGCUCGAGUACGGUAGAGGGGGGUGGAAUUCCUGGUGUAGCAGUGAAAUGCGUAGAGAUCAGGAGGAACACCGAUGGCGAAGGCAGCCCCCUGGGCCUGUACUGACGCUCAUGCACGAAAGCUUGGGGAGCAAACAGGAUUAGAUACCCUGGUAGUCCACGCCCUAAACGAUGGGUACUAGCCGUUUGGUGCGCGAUAGCGCUGAGUGGCGAAGCUAACGCGUGAAGUACCCCGCCUGGGGAGUACGGCCGCAAGGUUGAAACUUAAAGGAAUUGGCGGG
rnacentral:rRNA from 1 species